GUGAUAGCGUCGGCGGGGCUGGGGAUGCUGGCGGGGGUGGCCAUGGCGAACCGGACCAUGGGCGGCGGCGGCGACGGGCGGCAGCUGCCGGCGGCGUCGAGGUGGGACGCGCGGCCACGGUGCGCCACGUGCGGCGGCAGCGGCCGCGUCGACUGCCUCUGCAACCGCUGGUCCGACGGCGACUCCGGCUGCCGCACCUGCGCCGG
rnacentral:misc_RNA from 1 species